rnacentral:lncRNA from 1 species
AUGGCGUCUUCAUGGCGCACUUCGCUUUUCUUCCGUUUGCUUCUUGUCCCUCCACUCGGGGUAGGUCUAGGCUGGAGACUGAUUCCUUUAUUUGUCAGAUGGCUAGCCCUCUAUCUAGGCUGGGACGGGACUCGCAGAGGCAGGAGAAUGGAGCUUCCCUGUUUCGCCGAGUCUCGAGGGUCAGAAGAAAUCGGUCUCUUCUUCAGCCAGCUAUUUCCGUUCUUACCCGCCCAUUCAGGGGCGGAGAUCCCGCCCCCUCUCGCCCCUCCCCCCACGGACUCCUUGCGCGGAGUUCGUGACCCCCAGUUGGAAUUUGGCGGGGAGCUACUGCGCACGCGCAGGCGUUUGCCAGCCAUUGGCAGCCGGCGGCUGGAAGCUAGUCCUGGGCUCUCCGAGGGUUUGCUUCCUCCCAAAAUCUUCUGUCAACAGUAUGAAGCGUUUACAGUCAGGAUUGGCUUUUAUUUCACGGGACAGGAAGAAGCCGCCUGAGUCAGCACAGAUCAUGGAACAGGGAACUCAACACCUGCUGUCCAUCUUCCUAAAAUGGAAAGGAAAAGAGAGAGUAAUUAACCUGAACAGGCACGUGGAAGUUCCUGAGCCAGGAACAUGGACCAUAGCAGUAACCAGAGCUACAGCACUGAUAACGCUGGAUCCUUAACCCACAGAGCCGAUAGAGAACUCCAGGAGCUGUGUCUCAAGAAUGAGCAAGACAGACAAAUCCCUGCCUUUGAGAACUUCCAGUGGUGAAAAAAUAACAGCAAGAAGAAAUUGUUACAAAUUGCAGUUAUUCCAGGAUGGAAAGAAACAAAGGAAGCCCAGCCCUUCAGCAACUUCCUAAGAAAGAAUGCGUAGGAGACAUACUCUGAACCUUGUUGGUGUGAAAUUGUCAAUAUUCCAUCCUCACAUUUGAUUCAUCAUUGGGUUGGUAUAGAAUGCUAGCCUUCAAAUCAUUUCGGAUUUGGCAUUAUCACUGUUUUGAGUCGGAUUUGAUCCUUGGCCUGGGAAAUUCUGCAUGCUGUGGGUGCAGUGAAAAAAAAAAAGAGAAGUGCAGAGCCAUCCUGAUUACUGGUCCUUCGAUGAAAACCCUCCUUUUCUUCAAGGCUCUUCAGAUCUCCUUCUUUAUCCCUGGCCUUGGAAAUUCCACACAGCUGUACCCUGACAUCGGGCACCCAGAAAUCUCCCUAAAGCAGAAGUCCAUCAUGCAAUUCUGAGAAAUGUUCUUGUUUUAUGCCUCUGAGAGUUCCCUUCCCUCAGUUCUCUCUGGGCCGAAUUCCUGGAACUCCUGUUGGUUGCAUGGCAGACUUUCUGAAUUAACCCCUCUAGCAUUCUUAUCAUUUCGGGGGCUUAGUUUUCCUCUCUUUAUCUUUUUGUUUUCCUUGAUGUGAGGUUUUUGCAUUUGAUUGUCCAAACUCCUUAUGAAGUUUUUUAUUCGCUUUCAUAUUUUUAUUUUCUGUCUUUGUCAUUUUAGGGCCCUACCCAUGGCAUAUUUAAGUUCCCAGGCUGGAGGUUGAAUUGGAGCUAUAGCUGCUGGCCUACACCACAGCCACAGCAACAGCAGAUCCUUAACCCACAGCUCACGGCAACACCAAGUCCUAACCCACUGAGGGAGGCCAGGGAUUGAACUCGAGUCCUCAUGGAUACUAGUCGGGUUCCUUUCCAAUGAGCCACAGUGGGAACCCCGCUUUCAUAUUUUUAAUAUCUAGGAACUCUUUCUUGUUCUUUAAUAAAUUCCCUUUCAUAGCAUCAUGUUUUAUGUAUAAGAUAUCACUCUGAGAAUAUACUUUUUUGAGAUUUUCCUCUGUUUCCUGGAUUUUCUGUUGUCUCUGGUUUCAUUUUCUUCUGUUUUGCUUUUAGUUCGCUUUAGUGUCUCUCAUGGUGGAAUCUUUGCUCCUGUGUUUGAGGAUUCCUUGCCCAUCUGUCCACAUUAAAGAAGUAGGAGCCAAAAAGGUCAGCUGGGAGCUCUGAGGGCAUGGGUUGGACUUGUUGAUAUAGGAUGACUGGAGCAUAGGAUAACCUUUUGAUGGGGUAUCUUCAAAAUCAAAGUAUGUAAACCUUUAUUCUAGGACCAUUUCCAUCUGGUCUUGAUAGGAUCUAACAGUAGGUUUCUGUUACAUCAGGUUUCUGCAACAUUAACUUAUUCUUAUUUCUCAAGAUGCCAAACUUCCUUAGGCCUCAGCUUCCUUGUCUGUAAUCAGAUGGAGCUGGGCUAGGUGACCUCAAAAGACUCUUUCCAUUCUAUAGUUUUAUAAUACAAUUCAGGAUAGAGAUUAGUUAAGAGAUGGAAGCAUAUUAGAAGGAAUCAACUAUGCUUAAAAUAUAAAAAUCCUUUGAAGCUGUCAGGAGAUAGGCUGCUAAAAAUCUAAUAAAAUUUUUGACUCAUUGGAGACAUGACUCAAUGGGAGAUAAUUAGAAAUAAACUUGGGAGGGAGGACUCAAGAAGGGCUAAUAUUUAGUGGCAAUGCCUUAAUUAAUUUUGCCUAUGCCCUUGGGAUGUUGAAUUCAGUAGGUUUUGCAGUCUACCUCUUGGAGCUGAAUUGCACACAUAAGCUGGACGUUGCUGAUUGAAUAGGGUGUUAUAGAUCCAGAGAGAAGGAAGGGGUAUUAGAUUUUAAUUUAUAAUAACCCAUCCAAGACCCUGGGUCUCAGGCUGACAGAUCCCGACACAAAGGUCAGCAUCUUGGAGGAUCUCUAAAAUUAGAUUCUUGUUUACUCCUAAAAUGAAGCUGUGUCCCACCGCCCCUCCCGAUGCUGCAUGCGAUUAAGGGACUCUCAAAAGGUGGCAGGGAAAACAUCACCUGGAGAUUUCUCAUUUCUGCACAGGAGUUUACCAGGAUCUGAUAUAUGUGUGCAUUAAAAUGAAAACUAAGUCUUAGUUUAAACUCUAUUUGCUUACUUUUGUCAAUUCCUGCAACAUCGGUGCCGUUGUCCCCAUGUUUUUAUGUAUCUCUUAUACAAUGCAUGCAGCUGGUAUAGAUGAAUAUACAGUUUGAGUAAAUGAAUAUAUGGAGAUGAAAACUAUGCCCUAGAAAACUGCUUCCUUUUCAUCUACCUCUAACUCAGGCUGAAAAUCGAUAGGUCACCCUCCAAGUUCAGCAUAUUCUAAGCAGGCCAAGGCAUGGAACUGGGGCUUGUUUAGGUACAUUCAGCUCGAUGUGAUGGAAUUCCAAUGACACAAAAUACCUUGAGGAAUAAUGUCUCAGCAGCGUGGCUUGUCCUGCAGUCGCCUCAAUAUCAUAUUGCCGAGGAGAAAUAUAGCUAACCUGUCAUAACGGUAUUUACCUGGAGCGCAGGGGAGAGUGAUGACAGGGGAGACAUUUAGGGGAGAUUUCCUGGAUUUACGAUAUUGAUUUUUGGUCUUUGUAUGAGGAAGAAAUUAACAUCCUUUCUCCUAGAAAUAUGUUCCCUGCAAUGAGCCUGGUUAACUUCAUGAAAUACAGCUUACCCAGUGAGUGUUUGCCAAGAAGGGGGACUGCGCUGGAUUCAGAGGGGAGCAGGCAAUCUGACCCAGAGUUGGGGCUCUAUCAGAUUGCAGAUGAAGAAGGAGAAGACUUAGGCUGUCUUUGGUUUUGGCAAAGCUGAUGAAAGACAAGCUUUAGCUGGGGAGCCUUGUUUAAGAAAGAGUUGGAGGGAAGAGAGGAUUUCCACAAUAGCACAGACUUGGGGGCUACUUUUUAUAGGUAUAUUGUAAAAUAAAGCCCUUCAUUCAUUUAUUUAUUUGACAGUUACUAAGGAAUAGACAAUGUCCUUGUUACUAAGGAUGUGAGAAAUUGCUUUUAGGGAGCUCAGAGGUCAGAAGAGAAAACCAUCCAGACCAGCCUCAUAGCAGUUGAGAAUGGAGACUUUGGGGAGUUCCCUUGUGGCAUAGUGGGUUAAGUAUUCUGUGUUGUCAUUGAAGUGGCUCUGGUCACGGCUGUGGUGUGGGUUUGAUCCCUGGCCUGGGAACUUCCACAUGCCACAGGUGUGCCCCCCACCCCCACCCCCCCUAGAAACCACAUAUAAACAAUGGAAUGUUACCCAGCUGUAAAAAAGAAUGAAAUAAUAUCUUUUGCAGCAACAUAUAUGGACCUAGAAAUUAUCAUACCAAGUGAAGUUGGACAGUGAAAGACAAACAUUAUAUGAUAUCGCUUAUAUGUGGAAUCUGAAAAAAGGAUACAAAUGAACUUAUUUGUAGAACAGAAACAGACUCACAGACCUUGAAAACAAACUUAUGGUUACCAAAGGGGACAGGUUUGGGGUUGCGGGAGAGAUAGACUGGGGGUUUGGAAUUGGCACAUGCACACUGAGGUAUAUGGAAUUAUUGGUCAGUGGUGCCCUGCUACCCAAUAUUCUGUGAUAAUCGAUGUGGGAAAAGAAUCUGAAAGAGAAUGGAUGUGUGUACAUGUAUAACUGAAUCACUGUGUUGUACAGCAGAAGUUGUCACCACAUUGUAAAUCACUAUACUUCC